rnacentral:rRNA from 1 species
AUACGUAGGGUGCAAGCGUUAAUCGGAAUUACUGGGCGUAAAGCGUGCGCAGGCGGUUUUUUGAGACAGAUGUGAAAUCCCCCGGCUCAACCCGGGGACUGCCAUUGUGACUGCAAAGCUUGAGUGCGGCAGAGGGGGGUGGAAUUCCAUGUGUAGCGGUGAAAUGCGUAGAUAUGCGGAGGAACACGGAUGGCGAAGGCAAUCCCCUGGGCAUGCACUGACGCUCAUGCACGAAAGCGUGGGGAGCAAACAGGAUUAGAUACCCUGGUAGUCCACGCCCUAAACGAUGUCAACUGGUUGUUGGGGAUUUAUUUUCUCAGUAACGAAGCUAACGCGUGAAGUUGACCGCCUGGGGAGUACGGCCGCAAGGUUAAAACUCAAAGGAAUUGACGGGG